UACGUAGGUGGCAAGCGUUGUCCGGAAUAACUGGGCGUAAAGGGAGCGUAGGUGGUUGAAUAAGUUAGAUGUGAAAGCCCAAGGCUCAACUUUGGAAAUGCAUCUAAAACUGUUUAACUAGAGUACAGGAGGGGUAAACGGAAUUUCUAGUGUAGCGGUGAAAUGCGUAGAUAUUAGGAAGAACACCAGAGGCGAAGGCGGUUUACUGGACUGCAACUGACACUGAGGCUCGAAAGCGUGGGGAGCAAACAGG
rnacentral:rRNA from 1 species